UACAGAGGGUGCAAGCGUUGUUCGGAAUCAUUGGGCGUAAAGGGCGCGUAGGCGGCCUUGCGAGUCGGAUGUGAAAGCCCAGGGCUCAACCUUGGAAGUGCAUCCGAAACUGCAGGGCUCGAAUCUCGGAGAGGGUGGUGGAAUUCCCAGUGUAGAGGUGAAAUUCGUAGAUAUUGGGAGGAACACCGGUGGCGAAGGCGACCACCUGGACGAAGAUUGACGCUGAGGCGCGAAAGCGUGGGGAGCAAACAGG
rnacentral:rRNA from 1 species